rnacentral:rRNA from 1 species
GGGAAACUGCCCGAUGGAGGGGGAUAACUACUGGAAACGGUAGCUAAUACCGCAUAACGUCGCAAGACCAAAGUGGGGGACCUUCGGGCCUCACACCAUCGGAUGUGCCCAGAUGGGAUUAGCUAGUAGGUGGGGUAAUGGCUCACCUAGGCGACGAUCCCUAGCUGGUCUGAGAGGAUGACCAGCCACACUGGAACUGAGACACGGUCCAGACUCCUACGGGAGGCAGCAGUGGGGAAUAUUGCACAAUGGGCGCAAGCCUGAUGCAGCCAUGCCGCGUGUAUGAAGAAGGCCUUCGGGUUGUAAAGUACUUUCAGCGGGGAGGAAGGCGGUGGAGUUAAUAACUUCACCGAUUGACGUUACCCGCAGAAGAAGCACCGGCUAACUCCGUGCCAGCAGCCGCGGUAAUACGGAGGGUGCAAGCGUUAAUCGGAAUUACUGGGCGUAAAGCGCACGCAGGCGGUCUGUCAAGUCGGAUGUGAAAUCCCCGGGCUUAACCUGGGAACUGCAUUCGAAACUGGCAGGCUGGAGUCUUGUAGAGGGGGGUAGAAUUCCAGGU